rnacentral:rRNA from 1 species
GGGCAAUUAGCUGCUGCAGUUAAAGCUCGUAGUUGGAUUUCGGUUAAGAGCGACCGGUCCGCCGUUUGGUGUGCACUGGUUGGUUUUAACUUCCUGUAGAGGACGUGCUCUGGGUUUAACGACCUGGACUCGGAGUCUACGUGGUUACUUUGAAAAAAUUAGAGUGUUCAAAGCGGGCUUACGCUUGAAUAUUUCAGCAUGGAAUAACACUAUAGGACUCCUGUCCUAUUUCGUUGGUCUCGGGACGGGAGUAAUGAUUAAGAGGAACAGUUGGGGGCAUUCGUAUUUCAUUGUCAGAGGUGAAAUUCUUGGAUUUAUGAAAGACGAACUUCUGCGAAAGCAUUUGCCAAGGAUGUUUUCAUUAAUCAAGAACGAAAGUUGGGGGCUCGAAGAUGAUUAGAUACCAUCCUAGUCUCAACCAUAAACGAUGCCGACUAGGGAUUGGCGGAUGUUAAUUGAUGACUCCGCCAGCACCUUAUGAGAAAUCAAAGUUUUUGGGUUCCGGGGGGAGUAUGGUCGCAAGGCUGAAACUUAAAGGAAUUGACGGAAGGGCACCACCAGGCGUGGAGCCUACGGCUUAAUUUGACUCAACACGGGAAAACUUACCAGGUCCAGACAUAGUAAGGAUUGACAGAUUGAGAGCUCUUUCUUGAUUCUAUGGGUGGUGGUGCAUGGCCGUUCUUAGUUGGUGGAGUGAUUUGUCUGGUUAAUUCCGUUAACGAACGAGACCUCAGCCUGCUAAAUAGUUGUACGCUACUCUUAGCGCAGCAACUUCUUAGAGGGACUAUUGGCGUUUAGCCAAUGGAAGUUUGAGGCAAUAACAGGUCU